GUUUUAUCAAGUCGACUACCGGAAGGGGAAUGAAAAAUGUAUACGGACGUCGUUGUUAUUGCUGGUAUUGCAACUGUGGUGCUGAUGAUUGGUUUCUUCGUUGGCGUGGGUGUUUUCGUGAUGAAAGACCAGAAAGCGCACGGUAAGCAGGACAGGAAGGAAGGCAAUCAAAACCAGAAACCGGUUUGAUA
rnacentral:sRNA from 1 species